rnacentral:rRNA from 1 species
CUUCAUUCAUGCCUUCCACUUGGCAUUGAUCUGUCUCCAGUCUCCACUGCAUUUCACUAGCAGCAGUUUUCACCUUUUGAGGUCUGAGCUAUCAAAUAUUCGAAUGCCUUUUCUGGCUAAUCCAAUAUCCCAGGAGUAUCACCAUGUUUACACAUUUAGAAGAUUUUUGCAGUUAGACGAUUCCCGAGAGAGCAAAGAGUAAGUUGAGAGAGAUGGAGAGAGCACAGAAGGGAAGGAGAAAGGAAUAGGGAGGCGCGGCGGUGGUUGGUUCUCCGGCGGCACUGGAUCGGGCACGGGCGCAGAGCUCCUGCUCGGGGACGCAAAGAUCCAGGGAGGCACUCUCCCAUUCAGUUACCCUUACUAUCGGUUCCUACGUGCAGCCCCGGCCGCCAUAGCCUGAACGGCGCGGACGUGUGCUUCUCCCCAGGGAGGGCCAUGCCGCUGCAGAUGAAAGUGAAUCCCCUUCCGAGCCGGCGGACAUGACAUGGUUGGUUUCACAGGAUUGACUCGGCUACCUAUAGAAGUGCCACCAAUCUGAACCAAGCUGUUGCGUCAAGCGACGGGCGCGACACGCACCUCCAACCAACGCUUUCUCCGGUGAUCCCCGGCCACGAGCACGUCUAUCCCCUACAAGCCGCUACCGGUGCUCCCUCUCCGCUAGAUGCGGCAAGGUCGUGCGAGUGUUCUGUAGCUCGGCGCUGCACCAUGGGACAGGAUCGUCGCCCUCCUGGCCACAGCCGCAAACUUCGUGUCUGGCCUGCUUAUCCUCACCACUUUCAGAAUCGGAGGCAGUGCGUGACUGGUGACCAGUGUUCGACUUUGAUCGUCGACGCUGAUGAUGGAUUCAAGCACUCCACCAUAUUCUUGGCUACAUCAUCAGGAUUCACACCUCGUCAGAUCCGAGAUCUUUGAUUUCCUGCUGUUUGGAAGGGAUCCAUUAGUCGCCGCUGUUCAACUUAGAUGUAACACAAUCUGUAAAAUCUGUAAAGGUCCAUUAUUGCCAUUCAGAGACUCCAUCAUGGAGUAAUUUUUGCGUAACCUCUAGGUUAAUUUUUUAUGUGGUCGGCAUAACACCUAAUUCAUAAUGAUG